rnacentral:rRNA from 1 species
UACGUAGGGACCAAGCGUUGUUCGGAUUUACUGGGCGUAAAGGGCGCGUAGGCGGCGCGGUAAGUGACUUGUGAAAUCUCUGAGCUUAACUCAGAACGGCCAAGUGAUACUGCAGUGCUAGAGUGUGGAAGGGGCAAUCGGAAUUCUUGGUGUAGCGGUGAAAUGCGUAGAUAUCAAGAGGAACACCUGAGGUGAAGACGGGUUGCUGGGCCAACACUGACGCUGAGGCGCGAAAGCCAGGGGAGCAAACGGG